rnacentral:rRNA from 1 species
UACGUAGGCAGCGAGCGUUGUUCGGAGUUACUGGGCGUAAAGGGUGUGUAGGCGGUUGUUUAAGUUUGGUGUGAAAUCUCCCGGCUCAACUGGGAGGGUGCGCCGAAUACUGAAUGACUUGGAGUGCGGGAGAGGUGAGUGGAAUUCCUGGUGUAGCGGUGAAAUGCGUAGAUAUCUGGAGGAACACCGGUGGCGAAGGCGGCAUCCUGGACCGGCAUUGACGCUGAGGAGCGAAAGCCAGGGGAGCAAACGGG